rnacentral:rRNA from 1 species
UACGUAGGGUGCAAGCGUUGUCCGGAAUUAUUGGGCGUAAAGGGCUCGUAGGCGGCCAACUAAGUCGGACGUGAAAUCCCUCGGCUUAACCGGGGAACUGCGUCCGAUACUGGAUGGCUGGAGGUUGGGAGAGGGAUGCGGAAUUCCAGGUGUAGCGGUGAAAUGCGUAGAUAUCUGGAGGAACACCGGUGGCGAAGGCGGCAUCCUGGACCAAUUCUGACGCUGAGGAGCGAAAGCCAGGGGAGCAAACGGG